AACAAUGAGGAAUAUAUUCAAUCUCACUUUUUUAUAGGUAACAUUUUUGUUUAAAAUCUCACUGGCUUCUUUACAAACUUCAAACUUAUAAUUUUCUUAGUAAAAUCUAUAAAAUACAAAUUAAAUUACACAUUUUUUCACUGGACAAACAUAUUUAAGAAUGAAAAAAAACAUGCAACUUAAGCCAUAGAAUCAAAACAGCAACAUUUACCAGUGUGUGAUUUCAAAAAUAAAAGCAGGAUGAGGAGCCUCCGCCUCCACUAGAAGCAGAAACAUCACUAGAGCCACUUCCAUGACUAUCAUCAUCAUCUCCACUUCCAUGACUAUCAUCAUCAUCUCCACUGCAAUUACAAUUUCGGGUAGCAAACAGGACUAUUAGAAGUAUGAUAACGAUCCAUAUAACAUCGCGAAAAAUGAUCAUGGAAGCCACAAUGUAUUCAUGCUUUCCGAACUUGUGACGCAUCCUGUCGCGAACUAUUAGCUCCAUGUCCAGCAGUACCACCAUGCUCAAAGUCAGCACCAGAAAGAAGCUCGCCAAGACGUGUAUCCAAUAGUCUUUGAGACACACUAACAGGAUGCCGUGAAUGAUGAUAACUAAUCCGGCUGCCACGAUGUAGGCCAACGGAAUCUUAUGGCCGAUCUGGCAGGGAACGAACCUCGCAUAUAAGACCAUAACCAGGAUCACAAACGCCAGAGUUCCGCAAGGUACCAAAACCUGGUUCGGGUUGAACAAUUCAAAAUUUUGGAAUAUAGAAAGUGAGCCAAGGUCGUACCACCCACGGUUUAAACCAGACUGCCGCCGCGGUAAGUAAGAUGGUAUGGACAAUUAUCCACAUAGUGAAGAAUAUUAUCUUGACCGGCUUUUUUCUGAGAAGUUUCAUGGCAAAGCACAAGAAUACCUGAACUACCACAAAUGCAAUGAAGGCUGGAAUGGCCAAGUAGAACGAUAAACCGGCAAUAUACAAGUGGGCUGGUCGAUAGCUCGCGAAGAACAUCAUUGGAAGGAGACACAAUAUCAGGGAUCCCUAAGAAAAUUUUUCUUAUAACUGUCUGAAGCUGAUGUCAAUGCACUUAGUACUCACAUCCAAUAUGAGGAAAACUCUCCAAAUGAACCGGCGCCUAACCUUAGGAUCGGCGAAGGGAUUUUCAUCGCGAGGCUUAGUGCAACAAGAUAUAUUAAAACAGCAGCACAUUUUGCCGCCUAUAAAAUGCCUCCAAUGUCAUUUUCUCCAAUUGUAUAUGAAAAUUGAUUAUUUUUUGUUCCAAGUUAAAUUUGAAUGACGGAAAAUGCUUAUGAUGAUGAUGUUUAUUGAUGAUAUUGAACCGCGGAACAGGAUACCAAUAGUCCUCUUACGGCUACUAUAAGCUUACUCAAGGAACUAUUUACGAGUUGCGAAUCGGAAUUCUAGUUUAGAGAACGUGAGCAAAUAAUACUAAAUAAAAAGUAUAGACGCUGCUGCUUAUAUCAUGAACUUAAGUUUUUUAUUACUAUUCAGUUUACAAUAUCUCACAUAAAUUUUUAUAAAUUCUCCUAGUCAUCAUCUAUCCAACCCGCUAAUUGCAGUAUGAACAUAAAGAGGUGUAUUACAUCAUGAUAAAGGAUCAGAGAAGCAAGAAUAUAAUCUCUCUCGUCGUACUGAUGCUUGUGAAUUUUGCCGCCUAUAAUCAAUUGAAGGUCAUAAACUAUAAACAGAGAAUAGACGAGUACGCCAAAGCAUAUAUAGACAAUCCAGAUUUUUCUGAUAAAGAUGGCCAAUAUGCCGAGAACUAGGAGGACAAGACCUACAACGAAGAGCAAUAUGUAGCACGAGGUGAAAUCGCAGGGUGCGAAUCUGGCGAAGAGGCAAAGGAAUGCGACCAGGCCGGCGCAUAUUCCGAAGGCAAUUAAGACCUGCGGGAAGAAACUCGAGUUAAGAUUCGUCGAUAUGCAAUUGAUUUUCUAGAGCAACCCACCAGAAGUGGACGGUAACGAACUGCCAGGCAGGAGACCAGAAUGGCAUGGCAUAUGACGUAUACCACCAGCAAGAACCAAUUAAUAGGCGACUUUCGGAAGACGCCUGGGCAGAAGCACAUGACAAUGUGAAUGAUAAAUAUGAUGAUAACGGCCGGAAUAGGAAUCCACCAGUUAAUUAUUAAAAAGCGUCUAAUAGGCUUACUCAUUAUACAUAUUGUCAUUGCCAGUGUUGUGAAGGACAAGUUGAUCUGCAUGGGGCAAUCGGAUGAGUCGGCAAAGCUGUCAGCGUAUAACAAUCUAUACUCACGGCCACUAUCGUCAGGACCUUGGUGACAAACUGCCGACGCACGAGCGGAUCGUCGAACACAUUUGUCUCAUACCUCCUCCUCCGGCUCCCUUUUAAACACAUUUUAUCAAAUCCAAAAGAUGGUGAAAGUACGCGUGUGUCGGUGUAUUCAUGAAAUGGUUUGACGGAAAACUCUAUAAACUAUAGUUUAAAAAGUAUAUUCUAAGGAAUUGUACUCCUGAGUAUGAUGUUGUCGGGAUUUAAAUUUUUGAAAAAUUAUAUUCAAUAAAGAAAAUCAUCAUCUUAACUGAUGUUCGUUAAAUAAUUAUUUGGCAUAGUUUAACAUUAAGUUACAUGGAAAAGCGCCAUGGAAGCAAUAAUAUAAUGUAAUAUAAUAUGAAUUAUGAUUAUGAUGAUCGAGGCGAUCAAACUAAUAUACCAGUCUGCUCUUAAAACCGCCUAAUGGGACCAACCAUUUUGCAAAUCGUCCUGACCACGGAUGUGAAGGUCAAGUUAAUCUGCAACAGGCGAUCGAAUUGGGGGCAUCAAUCAGACCUCGUAUCAACUCCAAACUCAUGGCCACCAUGAAAAGCACCUUGGUGACAAACAUACGACGGACCUGCGGAUCUUCGAAGACAUUCCUGUCCAAGCUGCCCCUCCUGACCCAUUUGCAACACUCCAUUUUAUCGAGUUCCACAGAUCGCGGAGGUGUAUAUAUCUUUACGUAUAUUUCUGUGCUCGUAUAACGUGUGAUUGAAAAAUCUCAGAACCAUAGUUACAUAAAAUACAUAAAUUUUUUAAAAUUAGAACAAUAUAUUUUAGUAACUUAAAAGACUUAAAAGGAUUAAACCCUUUAACUACCAAAUAGAUCUGCAGAAGAUCCUUAAAAAUAUUUCCAAAACUGAACCAUUAAAAACAAGAUAAUCGGGGAAUUCAGUCACCAUUAAAUAUAAUUUUUAUGCGCCAAAAAGUACGCAACAAAAUAUAUUUUAAUGUUCAGAAGGAUGGCAAUUCUUUAUUUACUGCAUACUUUUAGACGCCUAAAGUCCCAAAUUAAUUUCUAAAUAGAUGGAUUAUAUGAGAUAUGAUAAGUUUUUCUUCUGUCAUGCAGCACUAUUUUCUUAGCCCUAUCCUCUACAUUUUGAGCAUCUGUUCUCUAGAGAAAAGGCGCCGAAGCAGGCCAAACUAAUAAAUGGAAUGUAGGCGGAUCCCAGCCAGCAGCUUUUCACGUAAUGAGCGACGCCUCGCUGACCGCCAAUGUGGAAAUGCGGCAUGGAAAAUCUCGGAAGCUGGCGGCGCAUUCGUGACUCCUCAGGCAGCAAAAACCUGCGGGGCGGUUUUGUCCUCAGGUGUGAAUAAGCGUGCAAGAAGUUGACAUAAAGCCAGGCAAACGGGCGGACAAUGGCUGGAGCAAUGGAAUCGCAGGAGGCGGACGAGGACGAGGACGCGGAGGACUGGAGGACUGGAGGACAGGAGAAGCUGCAUUGGCAGUCGCUGAACCGCACUAAUUGAGCCGCGUUACGUCGACUCGAAUGCAUUUCAAUGUGUUGCCAAGCAGCCCGCCGAUCCCACCACAUAUUGUCAUCCUUUUCCGGCCUCUCGCCUCUCGCUGGGAAGUCGAGCAACUGCUGCCCGGAAAGGAAGACCCCGAAGCCCAAAAACCCAACCUGAUAUUCACCCAGCCAUCCAGAAUCUGACCCGAGUCAGCUGCUCUUCCUCAACCGCGGAUAUCGAGGGGUCAGAAAUAAGCUGCCAUUAUCUCGCAAAGCUCAGAUGAAUUCAGUGACCCAUGAGGGUUAUUAAUCAUAAAAGACAGGAAUAUCCCAAUAAAAUCCUAAGAAUUA